rnacentral:rRNA from 1 species
GACGUAGGGCGCGAGCGUUGUCCGGAUUUAUUGGGCGUAAAGAGCGUGUAGGCGGCCAGGUAGGUCAGCUGUGAAAACGUCGACGGCUCAACCUCGAGACGCGGGUUGAAACCAUCUGGCUAGAGUCCGGAAGAGGAGAGUGGAAUUCCUGGUGUAGCGGUGAAAUGCGCAGAUAUCGUCAAGAACACCGAUAGUGAAGACAGCUUACUAGGCUGCAACUGACGCUGAGGCACGAAAGUGUGGGGAUCAAACAGG